UACUACAGCCAUGCUGCCCUGAACAAGCCCGAUCCCAUCUGAUCUCAGAAGCUAACCAAGUACUAACCUGGUUAGUACUUGGAUGGGAGACCACCUAGGAAGAUCAGGUACUGUAGGUG
rnacentral:rRNA from 1 species